UUAAAGUUUGUUCUUUUUAUGCUUCUUGCUUUAGCUUUUCCUAUUAAAUGCUUUUAAUUUCAUGCUAUUUAAGUUUUCUUACAUAAAAAUCUCAACUUUUACACUUUUAUUAAACUUUACCUUCAUGGUUGUCUUGUUUUACAUUUUCAUGUUUAUUUUCUUCACUUUGAGCAUGAAUAGCUAAACCCUGAAGGUGGUUGGUCGAUGGAGAUGAG
rnacentral:lncRNA from 1 species